rnacentral:rRNA from 1 species
UACGUAAGUGGCGAGCGUUAUCCGGAAUUACUGGGCGUAAAGCGUGCGUAGGCGGUUUAGUGUGUGGGAUUUGAAGGCCCGGGGCUCAACUCCGGAUCCGGAUCCCAAACUGCUAGACUCGAGAGUAUCAGAGGAGAGCGGAAUUCCCGGUGUAGCGGUAAUAUGCGUAGAUAUCGGGAGGAACACCAGUGGCGAAGGCGACUACCUGGCCUGUUCUUGACGCUGAGGCGCGAAAGCUAGGGGAGCAAACGGG